GGUUUUAUAGUCUAAAACAGGACAGUUGAUUUGCGUUCAAUGGGUGGGGAUGGAUUUUUCCCUAAAGCUA
rnacentral:tRNA from 1 species